UUCCCCUGCUGGCAAUGGGCAAAGAGGCACCUUGUUCAUGGUGUUGUUCUAAUAUCAGUCAGGGGCAGAGCAGAUGAGAGUCCUUUGUUUAUCCUAGCUUGAUGCCUGGCUUAACGGUCAAAGCUGUCUUAUGCCGAGGACUCAUAA